rnacentral:tRNA from 2 species
AGGGACUUAGGAUAACUAUAAGACCAAGAGCCUUCAAAGCUCUAAGCGGAGGUGAAAACCCCCCAGCCCCUG